rnacentral:tRNA from 1 species
GGAGAGGUGGCCGAGUGGUUGAAGGCGCACGCUUGGAAAGCGUGUAUACGGGAAACUGUAUCGCGGGUUCGAAUCCCGCUCUCUCCG